UCUGCCCUUAGGAUGGGGACAACAGCUGGAAACGGCUGCUAAUACCCAAUGUGCCGAGAGGUGAAAGCUUUAGCGCCUGAGGAUGAACUCGCGUCUGAUUAGCUAGUUGGUAGUGUAAUGGACUACCAAGGCGACGAUCAGUAGCUGGUCUGAGAGGAUGAUCAGCCACACUGGGACUGAGACACGGCCCAGACUCCUACGGGAGGCAGCAGUGGGGAAUUUUCCGCAAUGGGCGAAAGCCUGACGGAGCAACGCCGCGUGAGGGAAGACGGUCUGUGGAUUGUAAACCUCUUUUCUCAAGGAAGAAGAACUGACGGUACUUGAGGAAUCAGCAUCGGCUAACUCCGUGCCAGCAGCCGCGGUAAUACGGAGGAUGCAAGCGUUAUCCGGAAUUAUUGGGCGUAAAGCGUCCGUAGGCGGCCUUUCAAGUCUGCUGUUAAAGCGUGCAGCUUAACUGCAUAACGGCGGUGGAAACUGAGAGGCUAGAGUGUAGUAGGGGUAGAGGGAAUUCCCAGUGUAGCGGUGAAAUGCGUAGAUAUUGGGAAGAACACCGGUGGCGAAAGCGCUCUACUGGGCUAC
rnacentral:rRNA from 1 species